GGGGCUGAGACUGGGCAGUUCCGGGGAGCUGGGAUAUUCCCCCCUCCCCCGCCGCCCCGCCCCGCCGCCCCUGGCCACGAGCUGGCGGCUGACGCCAUCCUGAGUCCUCGCGCCUCUCAUCCGGGGGGGGUUCCCGCCGGUCCUGCGCCUGGCGGCUGCAGGUGCUUCGAGCCGGGGCCCAAGGUCAUAGGGGCUCCCUGCCAGCUCUGAAGCGGGAUCCCUUGUUCCCUCCUCCAGGCCGUGACUCCAACCGUCCGCGGAGCCCCAUUGCCGCGGGAGCCUCGCGUGUGUCCCGGGGCGGGCGGGGGGAGCCGCAGCCGCAGCCGCGUAGGGACCCCUGUGUCUGCGGGCUGGGCAGCCCAGCCGGGUCCCAGCUGUGGGGUCAGCACCGACAGGCCACGAAGCGGGUAUCAUGGCACCAGGGCAACUGCGGCAGCCCUGCACCUAUCUCGGCCUCACCUUGAGGUUGCCGAGGAAGAAGGGAGAUGCAAAAUCUGCAGACAGUCUUGCCCCAGGGCAGAAGGAAUCCUUGUCUCAUCAGGCUUUGCCCACAUAGCUUUUCCCCCCUUGUGUCGGGAGGGGCACCCUGAGGGUGAACUAUACAUCUGACUGGGGGGCUGAAACCUCUGCCCCUCCAAGAAAGACUGGCAGGACAAAGACGGAAACAGGAGAGUCUUUUUAUCUUCCCUCUGCUUCCCUUCUAGAGAUAGGAACCCUGUACUGUGUCUCUGUGCUCUUUUAAACUUCCCCUUCCACUGACAGGCUUCCACAGAUCAGUUUCACUUUAGGAAUCUUGAAUGGCUGCUUAAAUGGCUGUGGACUUUGGCUAUUUUAAAUAGAUAAUGCCAUAUUUGGCUCCCCGUGGAUUUAAGAUUGCAUUUUAUAUCAUUUUCCAUACACUGCUCAAACAGUUGCAAUAUUAAGGAUCACAAGACAGUGGACAGUGUAUGGGAGAAUUGACAGAAAACUAUAGAGUAGUUUUACACAACAUUGGUUGCCAAGUGUUUUGUUGUAGUGAAAUGUAUCAGCAGUUGACCAUGAAUUUUUCCACCAUGAUAAACUGUUCAUCCUUGUAAAAACUAAAAUAUACAUAAGAUCAUAAACUAAAACCUUAGACUACAUUGUCCAGAACUAUAAUCAUAUAAUGGUUCAGCUAUUGUGUCCCUCUGUGUGUAAGUUCUGAACUAUCUCAGAAGUACAAGAGAUGUAAUAGUACUGAAUGUCUUGAAAAUAACUUGUCUCAGUGAAUGGUGUUUGUCCCUUGGGUUAUGCUUAUGGCAUUUUCCUGUUCUGGAAGUAUUAUUUUUGUGUCCUGAGCCCCAAUUACUGUUGAAACUAAUUUAUGAAAUGCCCUCCCAUGGGAGGGCAUUAACAGCUGCAUUUCUCAAAGAGACUAAUUCGUUGCUCUGGAGUAACAUGUUUAAAACAGGCUUAUAAAUACUGGGCAAAAUAUUAUGCUAACUCACAUUCUGGACAAUGGGCUUGUUGUGGAUUGCAAGUUGCUCAUAAUUAGGUGUGGAAGGAUCCGGUUUUAGUUCAUAAAAAACAUGGUCAUUAAUUUAUUCAUCCACUCAGAAAAAAAAACUUAGAAGCGAAAGGUGAAAAAAACAGGAUACGUUACAGUUUUAGACAAUUUACUAUGGUGUCAAGUCUGUUUGGCAGUCAACUAGAAAUUAAUCUUAAGAAAUACAAUUUUUAUUUUGGAAGCUGUUAUAAAUCUUCUGUGGCUACCAAAUUGACUAGUCUGAGUGUUUUACCUUCUAAUGCAAAAUGUAAGUUGAUGAAUUUUUUUUUAAAAGUUGAGAAACAAAAUAUGUGGGGGUAAUUGAACUGUCAGCAUUAACUUAAAAAAAGAACAUUGCAAGCUUGUUGAACUAAUUUGUAUAGUGGGGAAUAUUGAGUUGAUAGAUACUAGAACAAAAAUAUGAAAACUUUUUCCUAUCAAUUAUGUGUUUCCAGCAGGGUAACUGCUAAAGUUGAUAUGUGAUAAUCACUCUGGAGAAACAGUUUAAAAUAUUUAUGGUAUUACAAUAUGUAAAAUGUUCCAGGUCUGCUGGACUCAAAACAUCCAAUUUGAGAGGUAAUGUCUGAGAAUGGAGUAGUACUGUGCUUUUCCUGCCUUUUGAUUAUUCUGUCUGACAUGGCUUCUAUUUUCAGAUCACUUUGCUGCUCCUUUUUGUCUUGAGAUUUAUUACUUUAGCUACCUAUACUUCAUGCUUAUUGUCAAAUAUUAUAGUUCUGACAUUCAUGGAAGCCUGGCAAAUUCAUAUAAUAAGACUUUGAUUAGUUCACCGUUUUCUUGCUGUAUUGAGAAAUAGGGUAAUGGUAAUGAAGGGAGGGGAAUUUGUGCCAUACAGCACAUGGAAUUUUAGUUUUGUAAAUUUGGGAUUUGUGAUUGAAAAUAUUUAAUACCCGAGUAUAUAGUCUCAUACUGCUAUGAGCCCCUAAGACUCAUGUUCUCUUUACUACUGGUGAAACGUGCUUCUGUUAUUUCAUACCAUAUCACUUAUGAUCGCCUAUGUAAUUGAAGGGAAAACCUACAUGAGAUUCCAAGGCAAAUCACGUACGUGGAUGAUGCAUUAUACACACAAGGGCUGUAAUCCCUUGCACUAGCUGGGACACAUAGAGAUUUUAUGGAUACUAUUCACUGCAGUUACUAUUUAAGCUACUGAAAGUCAAAGAAAAUGGUGUACUCCUGGAGGACUCUGUAGCCUACUGAAAUGACACUGAAAACAGCUGACGUAUUCAUCAGCUAGGAUAUUAAUUGGAGAUUUAGUUUAAUAAGUGUCUUUCUGUAAUAGUUAGUUAAAAACUUUCACAAAGUUGAAAGUUUCAAUUGUUGUGUAAUAUUUCUAGGCAUAGUUAACACAUUGACUCCAGAGGUGGGAUGGAGCUGCUUUGCAUGUCAUUUAUUCCUCCUCCACUUGUAUUGUCCCAUGCAAACUACUCUGGGAUGAGAUGAAGCAUGCAAAAUUUCAGAACUAUCAGCUUUGUUUGAGAGAAGUUAAUUUCAACUCUACUAUAGGUUGAUUAGAGCAGCUCCAUCAUGUAAAUUGUUUUAUAUAGCUUUGUGAAAACAUUGAUGUGUGUGUGUGUGAGAGAGAGAGAGAGAGAGGUAUACUUGCACAAUACUUGAACUGAUGGCAAGAGUUUACUGACUACCUGUCCUUAAGUGUUCUUACAAGCAAAGCUGUAAAUGGCCAAGCCUCAGCUUGUGUAAUAAGACUCAUGAGAACAGGUUGAUGAUGGUAUAAGCUAAAUGUUGCAAGAUGAGCAAUCCUCUUGCACUGUCCUUAAAUAUUUUGCUUCUGUCAGCUUUCUUUUAUAUAGUGCCUAUAUCCUUGUUUUAGGCAGGUGGGUUGGUUAAAUAGGGUUUACUUUUGCUCAGUAGAUUAGAAUCCAUCCAUCACAGAGCUGAAGGCUAAGAUUGUCUUGGCUUUUGCCAUUCUAUAGUAUGCAUAUAAAUAGAAGUGCUCUAUUUACAUACAGCUGCUGCAGUUGACCUUAGACAGCCCUUCUUUUUUGUUUGAAUAUUUGUCUGUGAGAUGGCUCGAAAUAAUUUAUAACGGAGCUGGAAGGUUUCAGUGGUCAUUAUCGAGAAGGGGAGCUCCCUGCAGUCAAACAACUAGAUGGUCUGUCAGAAACCCACAGAUGGUAUUUUUUUUUAUAUUUGAUAACCUGGCAUAGACUAGUUGUAUAUGGCUGAUGAAGAGCAUAUUGCUAAUCCAGAGUCCUUGGUUUAAAACAAAAGCUAAAAUCGUUGCCUUUUUAAUUAUAGUGAAAUUUAAUUGUGAAUAUUUUGUUAUACACAAAACUACCUCAUUUAUUUAAAAAAAUCCUUGUGUGGUUCCUGUUAGGCAGUAUUAGAAACUUUCUUUUCACAGAAUAGGUACAGCAUAGGAAAGAGUAGUGAAGGCCAUUGUGUGUCUCUCUCUUUUGUGGGGACCAGAUCUAAGGAAGAGUGCAGUUCUCAUCUUGUCCACUUCGGUGAGACUGCUACCAGAACUGUGUUUGUAUCUGCCUAUGGACAGUUGGAUGGAAACAAAUUUUCUUCACUCAGAUAACCAAAUAGACCAUCCAGUGGUAGACUUUAAAGCCUUGUUAAAACCAAAAAAUGACAUGUUAUUCAAAGCUGUUGUCCACAAUGUGUGGGUUUCUUUGAACUAAUGCUGCAGACACUUGAAUGGCUAGAGACGAGACAAAAUCAUUUUUAGCACCAUUAUGGAAAACAUUCUCAACAUGUAAGCCUUGUUUAAUAGUAUCUUCCAGGAAUCUUCCACUGUUGCACGCUACUGUUGGUGCAGCUUCACUGGUGGUAACAAAUGAUGGGCAUGCCCCAGGCAUUUUUGUUUUUGUAUCAUUUAGACCAGCUUUCAGCAGGGUUGGGUUAUAUGGCAGUUAAAACACUGAAGCCCUGUAUACACUGGUAUCAUUAGUGAGGAUAUGCUAAUGAUCAUUCCUCCAAAACAAUUUAAGUGUGGACGUAAUCAGUGCUUUCUGUACAAGUGCUGAAAAUUGUCCUUUGUACACUGAUAGUCAUUUUCUGGACUGGUUCAUGUGAACUGACUGAACUGUUCUCAGCAGCAAAUCAGUUUUCUAGUGCAGUUAAGGCUUAUGUUAUUGCUGAUCUGGUCCGACUAUGAACCAGUGACUUAGAGGUGAAAUCCCUGAUCUAACUAGGCAAAUUUUAAAAUACCAUAUAAUAAGAUUAAAAUUUGUACAGUAUGUUCAUUAUUUUUAGACUCUGCAAACCUAAAUUCUUAAAGUAUAUUUUCUGUCAUUUGUCAUUUCUGUCAUUUCUGAGCAGCUGAGGUAAGCUUGAGAUGUCUUGGAGCAAGUUGGUGUAAAGUGUGUUUAAAAAAAAAAAUUCAAGAAAAAUUAAAAUUACAGCUCCUGCAAUCAAAUUUUAGCUCCUGAGGCUUGACUGCGGCCUUUUUCUAAAUUGCCAUAUCUGCCUGGAGCUCCUAGCUCAAGUGAACAAGUGAAGUCUAUGCUGCUACUACUACUAAUCUUCUGUACAGCAGAAUUAUCCAAAAUUCCUGUUGAUUAAUUACUACUGCACCCACAACUCUAUAAAUUAGUAACAGCUGAGCUGACCAGUGCCUUAUGGCAGCCAUUGUUAGGGAGUAGCUGGAGUAGCUAUUUGUUUAAUAGAGCCAGUUUCUUCUGCAUAAAGUAGGUGAGAGGAAGUUGCAACAUUUUCUCAUAGGGUAAAGUAGCUCUCUUUUUUUUUAAAUCUAUGGGCUGAGAAUGGGAAAAAUACAAAUGAAACUUUCUCCUCUCACGGGGAGACACUUUUUUUUUUUACUUCAGUUGAGCUAUGGCCAUACACUGCACUAUAGCAAAGUGGAAAACAAAAACAAUAGACCGUUUCCUCUUUUCUCUGGAGAAAGAUCAGGAAAAACAGGACAUUUUCUUAUGAAGUAGACCGCCCUGUCAUAUUAGUGUAAACUCAGUUACUUACUAAAAUAUAACAGGUGGACCUUUAAUUAAGAUGCUGCUUCUGAGUAAGAGGACCAAAUGUUGGGAUGGUCUUAAGUUAGCUUUUAAGGCUGGGAUGCACUUUUUGUAUAUGUAGGGUUUUUUUAAAUGCUAAAAUUGAUAUGCAUGUGCAUACAGUUGCAAAUCAAGUAGUCCAGCAUCUGUGCAUAGAUAGAAAUUUUGGGGCAUGCUGUAACAUGGAGAACUUGUGGGUACAGAUUUAGAUGCUGUUUCUAAAAACUUGCCCUUAACCCAGAUGUCUGCUACAUUUUAGUUUAAGAAUUGAUUUUUAUUUAAAUAAAUGGUCAUUUUUUAUAGUCAUAGUGUUUUGGUCCAUAACUUCUUGAUAUACAACAGGCAUGAGACUGUCCUCACUUGUUACUUUUAAACUGAAUCAUAAGGUGCUGUAGGUAUGGUUUCACAGUUCAGUAUUAAGGAGUUGUCUGGUGGCUGAUCUCAACCCUGGAAGUCAGUACUCCAAGGUUCAUUUUCUAAUUCUGUGUCUGACUUUCAUGACUGUGGCUGGGUCACUUCUGCUUCACAUUUUUCAAAUGGGUAAACUGAAUAAUAUCCAUAUAACAGGUGGAUUAAUAACUUUUAAACACCUUGAUAAACUCAGAUGAAAGGCAUUGUAUGAAUACAUAUGUCACUGUCACACCUCUUGUCUUUGUAACAAAACUACAGAUUCUGACCAACCAGCAUACCUAAACAAUGCAUUUUGAUUGGUUUUCAAAGCUACCUAUUAUGACAAUUUUAUUAAAACUAAAUACCAUAUUUUAGUAUUCCAGAUGUUCAGUGCACGAAAUGAAACUUGACCUGCUGUGUUCUGAUUUUAAAGUGGUGGAGCACGAAAUGUAAUGUUUGCCAUUUGGUUUCAACAGCAGCAAUAUUAUUUUUCGUAGGAGUUAGUUAAAUGGGCCUGUCAUCUUUAUCUAGUGCCCGAAGGUUCCUAGAAAAUGCCUUCUUAUUGCAUCACAAUCUUCUUUGAAUGUCACAUUUAAUAUAAACUUAUUUCUGGAAACUAAAAUAAUUUAAGAACUUACUAAUGAGUCUGAGAGUCAUUAAUUUCAAGUAAUGUUGGUUUUUUUUAAAAAACCCUCAUAUCUAAUAUAGGAUCAAACAAAACAUGAUGUGCUGACUGCAGAGCAAAGUUUACAGAAUUACUAGACUAUGUAUUUUCCUUGUGGGAAAGGCCUUGGGCAUUCUGUUCUAUUACCAUGAAGCAGAAAUCUUUGCUAUUAAUUUUAUGUGGAAGGUGCUCAGAUAUUAUGGUAAUGGGUAGCAGUAUGUAAAGAUAGUUUUAUUCUAUGAUAAGAGCUUGUUAGGAGAAGACUCUUUUCAGAUAGAACCAAAUUAGCAUAAAUUUCCACUUUUAUUUGGUAUCUUGCGUGUCUUCUUCAAGCAGAGAGACUGCCAUACAAAAAUGGUGGAGUCUGCAAUCUUAGACUGCAAAUCAUUAAUUUUGUGUUUCAGAAAUUAGCUACAGAAGGAUCUUUUUGUAGACUGACUGUCAGGACUUUGUAACUAGCGGAACCUAACUUCGCUGCUGUUUAGUUUUCACUGCAGUUAACAGACAACUUGACAGGGAUACUGUUAGGUUAGAUUUUCCCUAGAAUGAUGACUUAUUGUGAAAAUGAUCUUUCGGAGACCUAAAGACCAAACGAUAGACAUGUUUCCCUGUUUUUUGAGCCAUUGCACAUUUAAAAACUAAACUUUCCCCUGCAGUUUUUAACCUGAACUUUGUAGUUAGUUUUCCUUUCACUUUUUGACUAGAAUCUGAUGGUAACCAAAAAUGAAUCUGACUAGUCUUCCAAGAUAAGUGAAGUAGCAACAUAUAAGUAGCAAAUAAUCACUUUUAAUGUUUUGUUGGCUAUGUAAGAAUUUCUUUUAAUGGGUUUUGGGGUCUGACUUUCUUUUUCUGAUUUUUGGGAAACCAAAGACAAGUGGGUGCAGCUCACCUAAAGGACCAAUUCCAGCUUUCUGAUUUGAGAGUAGGGGGAAUUCAAAUGUUCUCUAAGUUUAGAGUUAGUGCUGACUCAAAGGGAAAGCUGUAUACAGAAGUUCCAGGUGACUGGAAUUAACGAUGCCUGAAUUUUUCAUUAUUGUCUAGUUCAACUAGUUUAAAGUGAAACAUGUAUCUUUGGUAAUCAUGAUUCCCAUUGGGCUUUUACCGUAUGGCGCACGAGAAAUUUGCUGGUUUCAGAGUAGCAGCCGUGUUAGUCUGUAUUCGCAAAAAGAAAAGGAGUACUUGUGGCACCUGGGAGACUAACAAAUUUAG